rnacentral:rRNA from 1 species
UGGGGAAUUUUGGACAAUGGGCGCAAGCCUGAUCCAGCCAUGCCGCGUGCAGGAUGAAGGCCCUCGGGUUGUAAACUGCUUUUGUACGGAACGAAAAGCCUCUUUCUAAUAAAGAGGGGUGAUGACGGUACCGUAAGAAUAAGCACCGGCUAACUACGUGCCAGCAGCCGCGGUAAUACGUAGGGUGCGAGCGUUAAUCAGAAUUACUGGGCGUAAAGCGUGCGCAGGCGGUCUUGCAAGACAGUGGUGAAAUCCCCGGGCUCAACCUGGGAACUGCCAUUGUGACUGCAAGGCUGGAGUACGGCAGAGGGGGAUGGAAUUCCGCGUGUAGCAGUGAAAUGCGUAGAUAUGCGGAGGAACACCGAUGGCGAAGGCAGUCCCCUGGGCCUGUACUGACGCUCAUGCACGAAAGCGUGGGGAGCAAACA